rnacentral:rRNA from 1 species
UACAGAGGGGGCAAGCGUUGUUCGGAAUUACUGGGCGUAAAGGGCGCGUAGGCGGGAUGGCAAGUCGGUCGUGAAAUCCUCCGGCUCAACCGGAGAACGUCGGCCGAGACUGCCGUUCUUGAGGGAUGCAGAGGAGACUGGAGUUCCCGGUGUAGCGGUGAAAUGUGUAGAGAUCGGGAGGAACACCGGUGGCGAAGGCGGGUCUCUGGGCAUCUCCUGACGCUGAGGCGCGAAAGCGUGGGGAGCAAACGGG